rnacentral:rRNA from 1 species
UACGUAGGGGGCUAGCGUUGUCCGGAAUCAUUGGGCGUAAAGCGCGUGUAGGCGGUCCGGUAAGUCCGCUGUGAAAGUCGGGGGCUCAACCCUCGAAUGCCGGUGGAUACUGUCGGGCUAGAGUGCGGAAGAGGCGAGUGGAAUUCCUGGUGUAGCGGUGAAAUGCGCAGAUAUCAGGAGGAACACCAGUGGCGAAGGCGCCGCUCUGGGCCGUAACUGACGCUGAGAAGCGAAAGCGUGGGGAGCGAACAGG